UACGUAGGGGGCGAGCGUUAUCCGGAUUCACUGGGUGUAAAGGGAGCGUAGACGGUCAUGCAAGCCAGGGGUGAAAGCCCGGGGCCCAACCCCGGGACUGCCCUUGGAACUGCAUGGCUGGAGUGCGGGAGGGGCAGGCGGAAUUCCUGGUGUAGCGGUGAAAUGCGUAGAUAUCAGGAGGAACACCGGCGGCGAAGGCGGCCUGCUGGACCGCGACUGACGUUGAGGCUCGAAAGCGUGGGGAGCGAACAGG
rnacentral:rRNA from 1 species